GAUGAACGCUGGCGGCGUGCUUAACACAUGCAAGUCGAACGGAAAGGCCCAAGCUUGCUUGGGUACUCGAGUGGCGAACGGGUGAGUAACACGUGGGUGAUCUGCCCCGCACUUCGGGAUAAGCCUGGGAAACUGGGUCUAAUACCGGAUAGGACAGUGGUUUGGAUGCCAUUGUGGAAAGUUUUUCCGGUGUGGGAUGAGCUCGCGGCCUAUCAGCUUGUUGGUGGGGGAAUGGCCUACCAAGGCGUCGACGGGUAGCCGGCCUGGGAGGGUGUACGGCCACAUUGGGACUGGGAUACGGCCCAGACUCCUACGGGAGGCAGCAGUGGGGAAUAUUGCACAAUGGGCGGGAGCCUGAUGCAGCGACGCCGCGUGGGGGAUGACGGCCUUCGGGUUGUAAACUCCUUUCGCUAGGGACGAAGCGUUAUGUGACGGUACCUAGAGAAGAAGCACCGGCUAACUACGUG
rnacentral:rRNA from 1 species